rnacentral:rRNA from 14 species
GGGUUAAGUCCCGCAACGAGCGUAACCCUUGUUUUUAGUUGCCUUUCGAGGAUAUUUAGAAAGACUGCCGAUUAUAAAUCGGAGGAAGGUAAGGACGACGUCAAGUCAUCAUGCCCCUUACACUCUGGGCUACACACGUGCUACAUUGGGUAGAACAAUAAGUUGCUAAGUUGCGAAACCAAGCGAAUCUUCAAAUCUACUCUAAGUUCGGAUUGUAGGCUGCAACUCGCCUACAUAAAGAUGGAAUCGCUAGUAAUCGCUGGUCAGCUACACAGCGGUGAAUCCGUUCCCGGGCCUUGUACACACCGCCCGUCACACCAUGGGAG